GCGGCUACUGCUAUCAGGUUUCGACUAAGCCAUGCGAGUCAAGGGGUCGUAAGACACCGGCGUACUGCUCAGUAACACGCGGACAAUCUACCCCCAGGUGGAGGAUAACCUCGGGAAACUGAGGCUAAUACCCCAUAGUUGUCAUGUGCUGGAAUGCUUUGACGAUGAAAGAAUUUCGCCUGAGGAUGAGUCUGCGACCUAUCAGGUAGUAGGUGGUGUAAUGGACCACCUAGCCUCAGACGGGUACGGGCCCUGGGAGGGGUAGCCCGGAGAUGGACUCUGAGACAUAAGUCCAGGCCCUACGGGGCGCAGCAGGCGCGAACACUGUGCAAUGCGCGAAAGCGCGACACGGGGAGCUUGAGUGUCUUGGCAUAGCCAAGACUUUUCUCAUUCCUAAAAAGCAUGAGGAAUAAGUGCUGGGUAAGACGGGUGCCAGCCGCCGCGGUAACACCCGCAGCACGAGUAGUGGUCACUUUUAUUGAGCCUAAAGCGUUCGUAGCCGGUUUUGUAAAUCUUCAGAUAAAGCCUGAAGCUUAACUCCAGAAAGUCUGAAGAGACUGCAAGACUUGAGAUCGGGUGAGGUUAAACGUACUUUCAGGGUAGGGGUAAAAUCCUGUAAUCCCGGAAGGACGACCAGUGGCGAAAGCGUUUAACUAGAACGAAUCUGACGGUAAGGAACGAAGGCUAGGGUAGCAAACCGGAUUAGAUACCCGGGUAGUCCUAGCUGUAAACAUUGCCCAUUUGAUGUUGCUUUUCCGUUGAGGGAAGGCAGUGUCGGAGCGAAGGUGUUAAAUGGGCCGCUUGGGAAGUAUGGUCGCAAGACUGAAACUUAA
rnacentral:rRNA from 1 species